rnacentral:tRNA from 1 species
GGAGGAUUACCCAAGUCCGGCUGAAGGGAACGGUCUUGAAAACCGUCAGGCGUGUAAAAGCGUGCGUGGGGUUCGAAUCCCACAUCCUCCU